rnacentral:rRNA from 1 species
AUUGAACGCUGGCGGCAGGCCUAACACAUGCAAGUCGAACGAGUGGCGGACGGGUGAGUAAUGUCUGGGAAACUGCCUGAUGGAGGGGGAUAACUACUGGAAACGGUAGCUAAUACCGCAUACCAUCAGAUGUGCCCAGAUGGGAUUAGCUAGUUGGUGGGGUAACGGCUCACCAAGGCGACGAUCCCUAGCUGGUCUGAGAGGAUGACCAGCAACACUGGAACGGAGACACGGUCCAGACUCCUACGGGAGGCAGAAGGGGGGAAUUUUGGACAAUGGGCGAAAGCCUGAUGCAGCCAUGCGGCGUGUAUGAGGAAGGCCUUCGGGUUGUAAAGUACUUUCAGCGGGGAGGCGUUACCCGAAGAGGAAGCCCCGGCUAACUCCGUGCCAGCAGCCGCGGUAAUUC